rnacentral:rRNA from 1 species
AACGUACGCUGGCGGCACGCCUAACACAUGCAAGUCGAACGCAGUAGCAAUACUGAGUGGCAGACGGGUGAGUAACAUGUGGGAAUCUGCCUUGUGGUUCAGGACAACAUUGGGAAACCGAUGCUAAUACUGGAUGAUGACUUCGGUCCAAAGAUUUAUCGCCCAGGGGUGAGCCCGCGUAGGAUUAGCUAGUUGGUGAGGUAAAGGCUCACCAAGGCGACGAUCCUUAGCUGGUCUGAGAGGAUGAUCAGCCACACUGGGACUGAGACACGGCCCAGACUCCUACGGGAGGCAGCAGUGGGGAAUAUUGGACAAUGGGCGAAAGCCUGAUCCAGCCAUGCCGCGUGAGUGAAGAAGGCCUUAGGGUUGUAAAGCUCUUUCAGCGGGGAAGAUAAUGACGGUACCCGCAGAAGAAGUCCCGGCUAACUUCGUG